AACUUUUAGCAAUGGAUCACUAGGCUCUUGCAUCGAUGAAGAACGCAGUGAAGUGCGAAAAGUAGUGCGAUUUGCAUGCUCUGUGAGUCAUCGAAUCUUUGAACGCAUAUGGCACCUGCCAGCCCUGCUGGAAGGUAUGCCUGUUUGAGAAUCACACCAUCAUUCUGAUCCGAUUGCACCACGUGCAGUUGGUCGACAUGGGCCUUCAGCACUGAUCGCCUCGAAUUGCUCGCGAUCGUCGUGAUAUAUAAUGGUGGCAGCGAUGCCGUCCAGUGUUGUCGACGAUCAACCCGUGCUCGUGAUCUCAGAUCAGGCAAGGCUACCCGCUGAACUUAAGCAUAUCAAUAAGCGGAGGCU
rnacentral:misc_RNA from 1 species